GGAGGGCUCGCAUAGUGGCCGAGUGCGACGGUCUUGAAAACCGUUGUCUGGAGGGAUCCAGACCGUGGGUUCGAAUCCCACGCCCUCCG
rnacentral:tRNA from 1 species